rnacentral:rRNA from 1 species
GCGCGAAAACUUUACAAUGCGGGAAACCGUGAUAAGGGAAUCUCGAGUGCCAGCAUAUAAUGUUGGCUGUCCAGAUGCCUAAAAAGCAUCUGUUAGCAAGGGCCGGGCAAGACCGGUGCCAGCCGCCGCGGUAACACCGGCGGCCCGAGUGGUAACCGCUUUUAUUGGGUCUAAAGGGUCUGUAGCCGGCCAGGUAAGUCCCUUGGGAAACCUGGCAGCUUAACUGUCAGGCCGCUAGGGGAUACUGCUAGGCUUGGGACCGGGAGAGGUGAGAGGUACCUUGGGGGUAGGGGUGAAAUCUUGUGAUCCUCGGGGGACCACCAGUGGCGAAGGCGUCUCACCAGAACGGGUCCGACGGUAAGGGACGAAAGCUAGGGGCACGAACCG